rnacentral:lncRNA from 1 species
UCAUCCCCUCAUUCCUCUUAUCCUCAUCUCUCAUCCCCUCACUGCAUUCCCCUCUCUGCGCGAAGACGCCGGCCCGGCGAUGGGCGGAGCACGGCGGCAAGGCGUGGGGCCCGUGAGACGUCGCGGAACAGCCGGAGCUAGACACUGGGAGCAGGCGCCUGCGUCCGCUGGCAAGGGUGGCGUCACCAAGGUGCGGAGUAGAACGCCUCGGCGUGCCGUGGGGCCCGCGAGCAGGGGGGAGCGCGGCCUCGGCAAUACAGGGGGAGUGCGGCGGCGGCGGCGGCGGCGACGUGGGGGAGCACGGUAGUGGCGAUGUAGGAAUGGGGAGUGCGAUAUUUUUUAAAUUUUUUCAAAGCAAGUUCCCUAGGUCCAAAGUUUCCUAUACUUUUCCUAGGGUUUUCCGUUAAAACUGUACAACAAUCCUCGUUUCCCAUCAAAUUUAUUCCUACAAGUCUUUCCCUGCCAAAUUUUCUAGGGAGAUGCUUUCCCUAGAGUUUCUCAACCAUUUCCGAUUUUGGCUCUAGGGAAACAAGUCGAAUCC